rnacentral:rRNA from 1 species
AUUGAACGCUGGCGGCAUGCCUUACACAUGCAAGUCGAACGGCAGCACGGGUGCUUGCACCUGGUGGCGAGUGGCGAACGGGUGAGUAAUACAUCGGAACGUACCUUAUCGUGGGGGAUAACGCAGCGAAAGUUGCGCUAAUACCGCAUACGCCCUGAGGGGGAAAGCGGGGGACCGUAAGGCCUCGCGCGAUUAGAGCGGCCGAUGUCUGAUUAGCUUGUUGGUGAGGUAAAGGAUCACCAAGGCGAUGAUCAGUAGCUGGUCUGAGAGGCCGAUCAGCCACACUGGGACUGAGACACGGCCCAGACUCCUACGGGAGGCAGCAGUGGGGAAUUUUGGACAAUGGGGGCAACCCUGAUCCAGCAAUGCCGCGUGAGUGAAGAAGGCCUCCGGGUUGUAAAGCUCUUUUGUCAGUGAAGAAAACUUUAAUAAUAACACUAUUAAAGCAUGACGGUAACUGAAGAAUAAGGACCGGCUAACUACGUGCCAGCCGCCGCCGUAA